rnacentral:rRNA from 1 species
CCUACGGGUGGCUGCAGUCGAGAAUAAUUCACAAUGGGGGAAACCCUGAUGGUGCGACGCCGCGUGGGGGAAUGAAGGUCUUCGGAUUGUAAACCCCUUUCAUGUGGGAGCAAAUUAAAAAGAUAGUACCACAAUAGGAAGAGACUGUUAACUCUGUGCCAGCAGCCGCGGUAAUACAGAGGUCUCAAGCGUUGUUCGGAAUCAUUGGGCGUACAGCGUGCGUAGGCGGUUUUGUAAGUCGGGUGCGAAAGUGUGGGGCUCAACCCGCGAAUGGCAGAUGAUACUGGGAGGCUUGAGUAUGUGUGGGGCAGGCGGAAUGCGUGGUGUAGCGGUGAAAUGCUUAGAUAUCGAGCAGAACCCUGGUGGCGAAGGCAGGCUGC